rnacentral:rRNA from 1 species
GGUAAAGGCCAUAUCACUUUGAAAAUGUCAGAUUUUGCCUGAUCUCUGAAGCUAAGCAGGGAUUGGCCUGGUUACUAAUCGGAUGGGAGACUGCUAGCAAUACCAAACGCUACAG